GUCAACUUCUCAAUUGAGCGACUCUUUUUCCCUUAAAGUUCAAGGGUUUUCUAACCGCCUUAAUUAGCAUUGCUGAAGCGAAAAGAAAACAAGAUGAAAUCAUUUGACUUUUGAACAACUAAAUUAACAGAAAUGAUUGGACCCUCCACUUUAACGAUCAUCUUCCCUCUUCUUUGAUAGUAAAAUGUUCGAUUUAAUUUUUAUUAUUUAUUUUUUCAAGUUUGUUCUCCUUCUGUUUAAGGGACCUCUCCAUUUCGUUCACUGGUUGAAGUGAAUGUUUUACGCUCUUCACAUAAUCUCUCUUCACCCUCUUGCACUUUCAUUUUCCAUUCCCACAUAACAUCUUUUUAUUUGGUGAAUGUAGCUUUUUAUGCUUCUUUCCUAUAAAAAUAAAAGUAAACUUCUCAUAUCAAAAAGAUAUAAUAAAUCAUAAUGACAACUUAAGCACAACAUACCUUAUAAUGGAGGAUUGGCGCUCACUCUAUUGAGGUCUUUCUGUAAUUGCCUAUUCAAUUUUGAAAACAAUGUGAUGUGUUCGGCAGAUUAGUAGUUUAGCUAUGCAUAAACUGAAAUUAAAACAAAUAGAUAACUAACAACCGACAAAUAUCUUGAACCAAC
rnacentral:lncRNA from 1 species